rnacentral:rRNA from 1 species
AUUGAACGCUGGCGGCAUGCCUUACACAUGCAAGUCGAACGGUAACGCGGGGCAACCUGGCGACGAGUGGCGAACGGGUGAGUAAUGCAUCGGAACGUGCCCAGUAGUGGGGGAUAGCCCGGCGAAAGCCGGAUUAAUACCGCAUACGACCCACGGGUGAAAGCGGGGGACCGUAAGGCCUCGCGCUGUUGGAGCGGCCGAUGUCAGAUUAGGUAGUUGGUGGGGUAAAGGCCUACCAAGCCUUCGAUCUGUAGCUGGUCUGAGAGGACGACCAGCCACACUGGGACUGAGACACGGCCCAGACUCCUACGGGAGGCAGCAGUGGGGAAUUUUGGACAAUGGGCGCAAGCCUGAUCCAGCCAUGCCGCGUGCGGGAAGAAGGCCUCGGUGUAACGACUUUGUCAGGAGAACGACUCCGGCGUAAUACCCUCGGGUAAGUGACGGUACCGUGAAGAAUAAGACACCGGCUAACUAACGUGCCAGCAGCCGCGGUAAAGU